UCGGCAGAAUAAAGACACGAACU
rnacentral:snRNA from 1 species